rnacentral:rRNA from 1 species
CACGUAGGGGCCAAGCGUUGUCCGGAUUUAUUGGGCGUAAAGCGCACGUAGGCGGAUUCGUAAGUCAGGGGUGAAAUCCCGGGGCUCAACCUCGGAACUGCCUUUGAUACUGCGGAUCUCGAGUCCGAUAGAGGUGGGUGGAAUUCCUAGUGUAGAGGUGAAAUUCGUAGAUAUUAGGAAGAACACCGGUGGCGAAGGCGGCCCACUGGAUCGGUACUGACGCUGAGGUGCGAAAGCGUGGGGAGCAAACAGG